rnacentral:rRNA from 1 species
UACGUAGGGGCCGAGCGUUGUCCGGAGUUAUUGGGCGUAAAGCGCGCGCAGGCGGCCUCGCGCGCCCGACGGGAAAGCCCCCGGCUUAACCGGGGAGGGUCGUUGGGGACGGCGGGGCUUGAGGGCGGGAGAGGGUGGUGGAAUUCCCGGUGUAGUGGUGAAAUGCGUAGAGAUCGGGAGAAACACCCGUGGCGAAGGCGGCCACCUGGGCCGACACUGACGCUGAGGCGCGAAGGCGUGGGGAGCGAACGGG